CAAGCCCAGCCUUGCCAACAGUGUGUUGCACUUAUCUGAGCUAACCACAUCUAAACAUUAGCAUAUCCAUAAUCUUUGUAGUCUCUACAUGUAAGCAAUUUUUAGAUAAUUGAUUGAAAGCCUAUCAUUACUUAUAUAAUAAUCGUUGAGAAUCUCCUAACUGGCUAAUCUAGCCACAAACGCAGAGAAAUUUUAUACAUAUUCUUAAGUUCAAGCCAGGCACGCUGGCUCACACCUGUAAUCCCAUCACUUUGGGAGGCCAAGGUGGGCAGAUAACCUGAGGUCAGAAGUUCCAGACCAGCCUGGCCAACAUGGUGAAACCCCGUCUCUAUUAAAAAUACAAAAAUUAGCCAGGCGUGAUGGUGGGCGCCUGUAAUCCCAGCUACUCGGGAGGCUGAGGCAGGAGAAUCGCUUGAACCCAGGAGGUGGAGGUUGCAGUGAGCUGAGAUGGCGCCACUGCACUCCAGCCUGUGCCACAGAGCAAGACUCCAUCUCAAAAUAAAUAAAUAAAUAUUAAAAAAUACAUAUCCUUAAGUUCUGACAACAUUGGAGCCAUUCUCCCAUAUGACAGUAAUUGAUUAGGACAGAAUAUCUGCUGCUCCCUUUAGUGAGGACAUUUAAU
rnacentral:lncRNA from 1 species